GAGGUGUUACUUUAGAGUAGUUGAAACGAUGGAAACUGUGUGUGUACACCUUUAUACUUUAUUUUAUUUUUUCCUUGAUUCGUUGCUUUUUUUUUUCGCGUCCCACCCCACCAUACAUCUUUCUAUCCCCUCCUUGAAACUUGUCCUCCCCCACCACACAGCCGACUACGUCGGCCGCGAGUCGCUUUCUCCGUUUAUCGUAGCGUAGCGGCCGAUAGCUGAUAGCGGUAGCUGGUACCUGGCGAACGCCUGGAGAACGGCGACGUCAGUCUGCGCCUGGUUGUUCGUUGUACGUAUCUGUACGCGCCUCGGUUACCGUAUCGGUCGUACCUUUUUUCGUUCGCAUUUUUCCCCCCUUUAUCCUUUUUUCCUCUUACUCUCGCCCGUCUUCUCUUUCACUCUCUCCGUCUUCCUAGUUUUCUUUCUUGAUUUUCGCUGUUCCUUCCGCUCGAUUCCGUUUUCACAAUUCGCUACUAGUUCGGGAGGGGGGAGAAAAAAGGCAGCUAGUGUGUCGUGCCUCGUUCGUCAGUUGUUCAGUGUAAUUGGUCCGAUGUUUGGUUUGGGAAGCAGGAAGGUGCUCAAAUAUUCAGCCAUCGACACGUCCUUUUCCAUCGACGUCGAGGACACCGUCACGUGCUUUUGCAGAAAAGCUCGACUAAAGGAGAA